rnacentral:rRNA from 1 species
UACGUAGGUGGCAAGCGUUGUCCGGAUUUAUUGGGCGUAAAGCGUGCGCAGGCGGUUCUUUAAGUCUGAUGUGAAAGCCCCCGGCUCAACCGGGGAGGGUCAUUGGAAACUGGGGAACUUGAGUGCGGAAGAGGAGAGUGGAAUUCCAUGUGUAGCGGUGAAAUGCGUAGAUAUAUGGAGGGACACCAGUGGCGAAGGCGACUCUCUGGUCUGUAACUGACGCUGAGGCUCGAAAGCGUGGGUAGCAAACGGG